CGAGUAGACGGCCAUACAAGUCAGAUGUGAAAACUUAGAGCUCAACUUUAAGACUGCAUCUGAAACUGUAUAGCUAGAGUGCAGGAGAGGAAAGUGGAAUUUCUAGUGUAGCGGUAAAAUGCAUAGAUAUUAGGAGGAACACCAGUGGCGAAGGCGACUUUCUGGACUGUAACUGACGUUGAGGCGCGAAAGUGUGGGGAGCAAACA
rnacentral:rRNA from 1 species